GGAUAAACGCUGGCGGCGUGCUUAACACAUGCAAGUCGAACGGAGUACUUCUCCCGAGACCGAGGAAGCUUGCUCCAAAGAAUCAUUUGAAGUACUUAGUGGCGGACGGGUGAGUAACGCGUGGGUAACCUGCCUCACACAGGGGGAUAACAGUUGGAAACGACUGUUAAUACCGCAUAAGCGCACAGUACCGCAUGGUACAGUGUGAAAAAACUCCGGUGGUGUGAGAUGGACCCGCGUCUGAUUAGCUAGUUGGUGAGGUAACGGCCCACCAAGGCGACGAUCAGUAGCCGGCCUGAGAGGGUGUACGGCCACAUUGGGACUGAGACACGGCCCAAACUCCUACGGGAGGCAGCAGUGGGGAAUAUUGCACAAUGGGGGAAACCCUGAUGCAGCGAACCGCCGCGUGAGUGAUGAAGUAUUUCGGUAUGUAAAACUCUAUCAGCAGGGAAGAUAAUGACGGUACCUGACUAAGAAGCACCGGCUAAAUACGUGCCAGCCGCUGC
rnacentral:rRNA from 1 species